rnacentral:ncRNA from 1 species
UUUGGUUAGGUCUCCCCAUAGCUAAAGUUGUCUCGCCUUGCUUCAAAACUAUAGGGCGUGCGCUGCGGCUUUGACCUAACAGCCUCCGUUUGCUGGAAUUAAUCGGAAUAGGUGAGAACAAAGUGACGAACGGAUGCGUAAUGCGUGGGAAUCUGUUGAAUAGUUUGGGCCGAAUUCUGAAGAAAGUUCAAAGCAUUGUUUGAUGAGCCUGCGUAGCAUUAGUUAGUUGGUCAGGUAAAUGCUGGCCAAGCCAAUGAUGCUUAGCUGGUCUUUUUGAAUGAUUAGCCACACUGGGACUGAGACACAACCCAAACUCCCAUGGGGGGCAACAGAGGGGAAUCUUGGACAAUGGGCGAAAGCCCAAUCCAGCAAUCUCGCGUUAGUGAAGAAGGUCAAUGCUCCUUGUAAAGCUCUUACGUCGAGUGCGCGAUCACGGCAGAACUAGAGGAAGAAGCCCCGGUAACUGCGUGCCAGCAGCCGCGCUAAGACAAGGGGUGGGGGGCAAGUACUCUUUGGAAUGACUGGACGUAAAGGGCAUGUAGGCGGUGAAUCGGGUUGAAAGUGAAACUGUGAAAAUCAUAAAAAGUGGUGGAAUGCUCUCGAAACCAAUUCACUCAAGUGAGACAGAGGAGAGUGGAUGGUCUUCUAUUCGUCCCUAUAAGCAUUGUGAGGGACUAAAGUUUUUUAUGAAAGGAAAAGAGAUUAAAGUUGAAACAGACGCUCACUUCCAUGAACACGUGGACACACAACCGGUGGUUCCAUGCCUGAAUGCAUGAUGCAUGCACGCAUUACGCACGCGGGCCGUUUCCAAGCUAACUAAUGGCGCCCGGCCGACGACGCAGUACAGCUAGUAGAGCACUCGCUGC